UGGGGAAUAUUGGACAAUGGGCGAAAGCCUGAUCCAGCCAUGCCGCGUGUGUGAAGAAGGCCUUUUGGUUGUAAAGCACUUUAAGCGAGGAGGAGGCUACUUGGAUUAAUACUCUAGGAUAGUGGACGUUACUCGCAGAAUAAGCACCGGCUAACUCUGUGCCAGCAGCCGCGGUAAUACAGAGGGUGCGAGCGUUAAUCGGAUUUACUGGGCGUAAAGCGUGCGUAGGCGGCUUCUUAAGUCGGAUGUGAAAUCCCUGAGCUUAACUUAGGAAUUGCAUUCGAUACUGGGAAGCUAGAGUAUGGGAGAGGAUGGUAGAAUUCCAGGUGUAGCGGUGAAAUGCGUAGAGAUCUGGAGGAAUACCGAUGGCGAAGGCAGCCAUCUGGCCUAAGACUGACGCUGAGGUACGAAAGCAUGGGGAGCAAACAGG
rnacentral:rRNA from 1 species